UACCUGCACCAACAGAGCCACCAUGU
rnacentral:misc_RNA from 1 species